rnacentral:rRNA from 1 species
AACGCGAAGAACCUUACCUGGCCUUGACAUCCUGGGAAUCCUGCAGAGAUGCGGGAGUGCCUUCGGGAACCCAGAGACAGGUGCUGCAUGGCUGUCGUCAGCUCGUGUCGUGAGAUGUUGGGUUAAGUCCCGCAACGAGCGCAACCCUUGUCCUUAGUUGCCAUCAUUUGGUUGGGAACUCUAAGGAGACCGCCGGUGACAAACCGGAGGAAGGUGGGGAUGACGUCAAGUCAUCAUGGCCUUUAUGGCCAGGGCUACACACGUGCUACAAUGGCAGGUACAGAGGGAAGCCAACGCGCGAGCGGGAGCUAAUCCCAGAAAGCCUGUCGUAGUCCGGAUCGGAGUCUGCAACUCGACUCCGUGAAGUCGGAAUCGCUAGUAAUCGCAGAUCAGCAUUGCUGCGGUGAAUACGUUCCCGGGCCUUGUACACACCGACAUA